CAGGAUCAAAUAAGAGAUGAUCAGCUGAGAAGGAAGCUCCUACUUAAAGAAAGCUCUCUGUUUGUUUAUUAGGGGAAGAGAAACUGGUGAUAUGUGAAUGGGUUACUGUCUGACAGAUCUGAUGAUGGUGGUGGCAGCAGGGUUCCUUGUUUCCACCUGCGGCUCUGAGAUACAGUUACUCGUUGUAAGCAAGAUCGGCAGAUUUUCUCCUUUGUGCUUGGAAAGGUCACAGCUCUCUGAAGUAUGCAAGCCUUAUUGUCGUUUCCUUCCUCCGUCGAUUCACUAAAUGCCAGUUCUCUCAAUUGCCUUGAGCAAGAAAUUAACACCAAACAGCAUAAAAUGGACCGUAAUCUCUGAUGCACAGAUCAGAAGGCUGGAUACAAAGACGGCGAUUUGAAUUUAUUGCAGAGGAGAUAAGUGCUGUGGAUGGUGAAAAGCGGGACUGGAAAUCUGGAGUAAUGAUGCCAGAAAUAGAAUCAUAAAAACUGAUUUAGCACCCACAUCCUGAGAAGCAUCUGCUGACUUCCCUCUCAUUAUGAAAUUGAAUCUGCUACUGAAAAACCAUUCUCCCUAGAUAGUGCAUCUCUGCGGAGGCUGAUUUGAAGGAAUUUGAUAACGCACUAUUCAAAAGAAAACCGCACCAUCAAUAGAGAAAUCCACCAAAAUAAAUAUUCUCAGCAAA